GUAGGUGGCAAGCGUUGUCCGGAUUUAUUGGGUUUAAAGGGUGCGUAGGCGGCUUGAUAAGUCAGUGGUGAAAGCCGAUCGCUUAACGAUCGAACUGCCAUUGAUACUGUCGGGCUUGAGUAUAGAUGAGGUAGGCGGAAUUGACAGUGUAGCGGUGAAAUGCAUAGAUAUUGUCAAGAACACCAAUUGCGAAGGCAGCUUACUAAGUUAUAACUGACGCUGAGGCACGAAAGUGCGGGGAUCAAAUAGGAUUAGAUACCCUGGUAGUCCGCACCGUAAACGAUGAUCUCUCGCUGUGUGCGAUAAACAGUACGCGGCCAAGCGAAAGCGAUAAGUGAUCCACCUGGGGAGUACGCCCGCAAGGGUG
rnacentral:rRNA from 1 species